rnacentral:tRNA from 1 species
GACGCUACGGACUUAAAUAAUUUGAGCGUUAGUAGAAAAACUUACAGAUAGAGUCCAAUUUUACAUGUUAAUCUUAGCAACAAUUUAAAUUGUAGUAGAAAGAAA